CUUGGCCCUCAUGGCGGGGCGGCGGCGGCUCCGCGCUCAGUCCGGGCGGGCGGGGGCGGCGGAUGGAGGCGGAUGGAGGCGGCGGCCGGGGAAGGCCCCAAUAUGGCGGCAGCGGCCGAGAGGGGCCCGCGCCGCCCGGUUGGCGGUAUUUAUAGUGGAGAUAGGCCACGCCCACAGCGGCGAGGGGCACAACGGGAUCUGUAGUUCCUUGCCCCGAAGCAUCGCGGGAGCUGUAGUCCCGACCCCGGCCGCCAUUUUGCGCAGCCCCCCUUUUGGGGGGGUCCCCAAAGGUGUAUGCCAGAGAUGCCCAGGAUCCCACAUCCACCCCACACCCACCCCGGGGCUGAAAGAACUGGAGACCAGGAGCAGAGAGAGAUGGAAAAAAUUCAGAAUAAAAUCCAAUAUCGCAUCGUU